AGUCACUGACAUUAGACUACCCCUGUAGUCCCAGCCGUAAACUAUGCGCGUUAGGUGUAUCGGUGACCACGAGUUACCGAGGUGCCGAAGGGAAACCGUGAAACGUGCCGCCUGGGAAGUACGGUCGCAAGGCUGAAACUUAAAGGAAUUGGCGGGGGAGCACCACAACAGGUGGAGCCUGCGGUUUAAUUGGACUCAACGCCGGGAAGCUCACCGGAUAGGACAGCAGAAUGAUUGCCGGGCUGAAGACCCUGCAUGACUAGCUG
rnacentral:rRNA from 1 species